UUGAGUGAACUAAAAAGACAAAUAUGAUACAUCGAUCUAACUAAGAGACAUUUUAAAAAUGAUUCUAUGUUAAGAAGGUUUUCUUGCAACUCCUAAAUGAUAAAACUCAUUUAGUUGAAGUAAAGGAUACAUGAUUUAUCAUUUGUUACAAAUAAAGGCUAGGAGAAAAACUAUGGUUCAAAUGUUCAAGUUUGCUUAUGUUACAGUAUUUGUUCUUUACCUAUUUCUUGUUGUAACCAAAAUCAACUCACAUGAUGAUGAUCAUGAUCAUCCUCAUCCUUGCAUUCUUGACAGCGAUUGUAAUCAUAUUUGUCCCAGGUCUGAAAUUCCUGUGUGUGUUUACAAAAUUUGUUUCUGCCGUCAUCCGAAAUAGAAUUACUCUGGAAAGCUAUGAUGAUCACCUUUGGGUUUAAUGUUAUUGCUUUAUUUUAUGGAUUUUUUUAUUGUCUCUUUGAUGUGUAACUAAAUUCAUAACCAAGGAUAUAUUUGAUCUUCUGUCAUUUUAGUAUCUUAUGUGUAACUUUAUUUUA